rnacentral:rRNA from 1 species
UUAAUGCGAAUUGCAGAAUUCCAGUGAGUCAUCGAAUCUUUGAACGCACAUUGCGCCCUUUGGUAUUCCGAAGGGCAUGCCUGUUCGAGCGUCAUUAUCACCCCUCAAGCCCUCGGCUUGGUGUUGGACGGUUUGGUGGAGGCCCCCUCGGGGGUUCCUGCCCCUCCCAAAGACAAUGACGGCGGCCUCGUUGGACCCCCGGUACACUGAGUUCUUCACGGGACACGUAUCGGACACAUGGGUUUACGGGACACGGUCUGCCUCCCCUCAGGGAGAAUCUUUCUAAGGUUGACCUCGGAUCAGGUAGGGAUACCCGCUGAACUUAAGCAUAUCAAUAAGCGGAGGAAAAGAAACCAACAGGGAUUGCCUCAGUAACGGCGAGUGAAGCGGCAACAGCUCAAAUUUGAAAUCUGGCCUCUUUGGGGUCCGAGUUGUAAUUUGUAGAGGAUGUUUCGGGUACCGCCUCGGUUUAAAUUUCUUGGAACAGAAUGUCAAAGAGGGUGAGAAUCCCGUCUUGGACCGGCGGUAGGGCCCAUGUGAAACUCCUUCGACGAGUCGAGUUGUUUGGGAAUGCAGCUCAAAAUGGGUGGUAAAUUUCAUCUAAAGCUAAAUAUUGGCCAGAGACCGAUAGCGCACAAGUAGAGUGAUCGAAAGAUGAAAAGCACUUUGAAAAGAGAGUUAAACAGUAUGUGAAAUUGUUGAAAGGGAAGCGCUUACAACCAGACUUGCGCGCGGCGGUUCCCCCUUCCUUUUGGUUGGGCUACUCCGUCGUGUCCAGGCCAACAUCGGUUCUGGGGGUCGGUUAAAGACCCUGGGAAUGUAUCUACCCUUCGGGCGUAGACUUAUAGCUCAGGGUGUCAUGCGACCUCCCGGGACCGAGGAACGCGCUUCGGCUCGGAUGUUGGCGUAAUGGUGUC